rnacentral:lncRNA from 1 species
GCCAAACCCAAAUCUGAACCUAGCUGCUGUUGGUCUAACUCCAGGUUCAGCUGGUGGUCUUGAGGGUCCAGACCGCAUUUUUGUGGGUGGACUUCCCUAUUACUUCACAGAAGCUCAGGUGAGGGAGUUGCUGGAGUCUUUUGGGCCCCUACGAGGUUUUGAUCUCGUGAAAGACAGAGAGACUGGAAAUUCAAAAGGAUAUGCAUUUUGUGUUUACCAAGAUCUUUCAGUCACAGACAUAGCCUGUGCAGCACUCAAUGGUAUUAAAAUGGGUGAUAAGACGCUCACUGUUCGGCGUGCGAAUCAAGGAGCCAAUCAACCCAAACCAGAACAAGAAAGUGUUCUUUUACAUGCACAGCAGCAAAUUGCUUUACAGGUGGGUGAAUUCUAAAUGAAUGCAUGCAAUUGCCUCCUUUCUACCUAAGAAUUUUUAAAUACCAGUUCAUCAUUGAAAUUAUCAAUUGAAUAAUUUCGGGGAAAAAGGCCAAUUGCAUACCUCUUCAUUAAAGUUGUGAUUCAACCAGCAUAUAGUUUUGUUUUUUGGAGCGCUUUGAAGGACUGAAAAUUCUUAGAAUAUUAUUGUAAAAUGCAGAGAAUUUCCUAAGAAGUGACAAAUAACUUGUAGUGGUUGUAAGGAUAUGGUUUGUUUCCUUCUUGCAUGCCUAUUAUAUCAAAACCGAUAAGAGUCCAUGGUUAAAUUUUUAUUCUCCAUCUAUGUCUCAGUAUGUCAUAUUUGUUCUUUUUUAAAUAAUUGUGCAGUAUUAUUAUCUUUUGGUUUAUAGCUUUCUUACCGUAUUCCUCUCUCAGAAGCUUAUGCUACAGCCUGGGGCUGUAUCCACCAAGGUUCUCUGUCUUACACAAGUUGUGACCCCUGAAGAGCUUAUUAAUGAUGAAGACUAUGAAGAUAUCAUGGAAGACAUGCGAGGGGAAGGCGGAAAAUUUGGUAAACAAACAAAUCUUUUGAUUGUGGUCCUAUAAUCUAAUAAUAGAUUCUAUAUUUUGUUUUUAAAUUUUAAAGCUUCAUGCUACUCAUUGGUUUCUUGUUUGUGUUUUUUUUGUGUGUGAUAUCUCUGUUUUACAGCCUUUUCUUGUCCUCACAUUCUGGUAGAAAGAAUCAGACAAAUAACUUACAGACAGAAGCCUCCAUAACCUUCUUUCUUUAUACACCCGCCCAAUUUGUACUUUACUUGAUUCUGCAAAUUUGUGGUUUCAAGUGGUUUUUAUUGUCUUUUUGCAGGUACAUUAGUGAAUGUCGUUAUCCCGCGUCCAAGACCC